GGGGUCAAUCGCCCAGUGCUCAUCUUCACCGCUUCUCCUCCCGACUCUCAAUCUCCCCACCACAAAUGCGCGCAUGAAACGGAUUGGGGCAGGCGAGCGAUCGUAUCCUUCAUCACAAUGGAGGUGUAGAAGAAACUGGUGGAGACCUCCAGCAACUGUCCUCCCUUUAAAUAAUGUUCUGCAGAAAUUUGUGCCGGCGCCUCUGCUUGUGAUCUGCAAGCUGGGACGUGCUUCUUCUCCAGAUUCAUUAUUUUCUCUACCGAUAAGUCAACGCGAGUUGAAUCUCCCCACCACCGUCGUCGCUCAUCUCCUUCCGGUGCAACGCGUGUCAGACGGGGCAGAUUAGAGCCCUCGCCGCCACCAUCGUGUUGCCGCGGACGCAUGCUCGGAGAAUCUGAAUGCCUCUACAGAAUCGAAGGUGGUUGGAUUUAAUAGGAGGAAGCAAACUGGUACUGGAAUUCCUAGACAUGUGUUUCUGAGGGAGGCAGGGCAAAUGAUCUAGAUUAAGUGGUUAACUGAUGAUAUUCUGUCAACAUCCCCUUCCUGAGUUUACAGGUAAUUGGAUGGUGUUCUGGGAGUUAGAAAAUGAAAUAGGUGGAAUGAUUAAUGCUACAAACAUAUUGGCGCCAUAAUUUUCUUCUUACCAGCUGAAGCUAAAUAAAAGUAGUCUUACUUUGCCGGUAACUGCUAUCAACUGAAGCUUAUUCUGCAUGAUUUAUGAGCAUGGGCAACAUUGAUCUCUCUAUAUAUGACUCCUGAACUUUUGUCCACAUUUAGUUUACAGGCAAAGCUUUACCGACACAUCACUGUUCCUGGAUACAUAAUGCCCUCUAUACUUCCAUAUUUAGUUUACAGGCAAAGCUUUACAACCAUUGGUUUUGUUGCUUUUGUACAUUCUUCAUUAUCUUUACCAGAUUGCAGAUUUGCACUGAAUUAGCAAAAGUAAAAAAAAUGCAGGCAAAGUGCUCUCACGAUUGUUUAUUUGGUCAGUACUAGAUGGUUUGAUGAGUUAUAUCAUUGCCUUUUAUUUUGAAUGACAAACGUAAUUGAUAAUUCAUGCAUGAUGUACAUACAUGUUUUACUACCCAGUUAUGAUGCAAUAGUGACAAAGCUUUUUGAUCCAUCACUCUCUCAAGUAGUGACCAUCAGGAUUAUACAUAUCACAAUAGGCAUGCCUCUUUUAUCAUUCCAUCACUAUAUCAGGUAUAUCUUUUCCUCCAAAGGGUUACAAAUAUUUUGACCUACACAUCUUAAGUUUAUGCUGGAAAUAUAUCUUCCAAUGCUAACUGUAGUUAAAGUUGAAAAUCGAGGAUGUAUUUUUAUAUUUAACACCAUCUCAAAUCAUGAGAACCUUAAGAUUUGCUUAGUAAAUUGCAUUGUCAAUGACGGUGUUUAUUUGGUAGUUAUAUCCAUAACACAUUUUGGCUUAUUUUUUCACAUAUUAUUUUGCCAUGCCAAGAACUAUAUAACUCAUGCAGAGAUGUUUGUAAACGUACUACAUCUGGUGUCUGCUUUCUCAUCAUAAAAGGAAGAAGAGGCUAAGGUAUCCUUUUUGGUGGCACAAAUUUGGUUCAUGUCAAUAAGAAAAAACUUCGCACCUUAAUUUAACUUUUGCAAUAUAUCAUCUUUGUGACCUCCAGUUUCUUACGUUUUUUAUGCUACUUGCAAUUGUUCCUCCAUUAUAUAAUUCCUUAUAAAUAUCUUUUCAUCAAUCACAAACCAUCACGUGUUGUUCACCGGUGUUUAAUGUAGGUCGUAUGUAAUCCCUUCCAACACUAGAUCAGGCUAACUACGUCUAUUUUCCACACAAAAAGGCUAGCUAUGUACAUGUCGAUCUACAUUUAUUAGGUUGAUUUAUUAUAAAAUAAACCUUUACUUGACAACCAACACACUUUUUUCACCUAUAUAGGUUAAGGAGAUAUAUCUGGCCACCUCGCCUGGAUGUUUUUCUGCAAAUAUGUUAUAUAGUACAUACACUCUAUGAUUGCCUCCUUUUUUCCUUAUCUCCCAUACUUCCUAGGGAUUUAGUAUGUUGUAUAUAUAUUGAACAAGAGCACUGAUGAAUUGACUUGAUGAGUUUUGGUUUAGACAUAUGGCAUUCCAAACCAUUUUCACACUGUUAACUAUGCUAUGAUGAUUACCCAUUCUGUAAAUGAUUUUCAUUGCCUGACGACUGUUCAUAUCCAUCCAGCCCCACAUAUUUAAUACUGCUAUUUUGUUUUUGUCCAAGGUUGAGCUUUGGGGAGUGAACACAAGUAUUGUAAUUUUUUGAUUGGGGACCUUCAGUGUGGUAUCUCUGCUUUGAUUACUUCUCAGUUAAUCCUUCAUAAGCCAUUUUAGCUUUAAAGAUUAAAAUUUGUAGCUUAUGUGCCUUUACUUUUAGUGGUACUCUAUGAAUAAUCUCUUCCCAUGGAUGUAAACUCCAAGUUAGCCAUUAACACAUGGUUCUAGCAAUAUGGAGUGUUUGGUCGACCAAUUCAAUGAUUUUGGUGUUA